CGCGCAGGCGGUCGAUUUAGUCGCGUGUGAAACGCCCCCGGCUCAACUGGGGGAGGGUCACGCGAUACUGAUCGACUCGAAGGCAGGAGAGGGUAGUGGAAUUCCCGGUGUAGUGGUGAAAUGCGUAGAUAUCGGGAGGAACACCAGUGGCGAAGGCGACUACCUGGCCUGUUCUUGACGCUGAGGCGCGAAAGCUAGGGAGGCAAACG
rnacentral:rRNA from 1 species